UACGAAGGGGCUAGCGUUGCUCGGAAUCACUGGGCGUAAAGCGCACGUAGGCGGACUCUUAAGUCGGUGGUGAAAUCCUGGAGCUCAACUCCAGAACUGCCUUUGAUACUGAGAAGCUUGAGUCCGGGAGAGGUGAGUGGAACUGCGAGUGUAGAGGUGAAAUUCGUAGAUAUUCGCAAGAACACCAGUGGCGAAGGCGGCUCACUGGCCCGGUACUGACGCUGAGGUGCGAAAGCGUGGGGAG
rnacentral:rRNA from 1 species